rnacentral:rRNA from 1 species
UACGUAGGGACCGAGCGUUGUCCGGAUUUAUUGGGCGUAAAGAGCUCGUAGGCGGCUUGUCGCGUCGUCCGUGAAAACCUGGGGCUCAACCCCAGGCUUGCGGUCGAUACGGGCAGGCUCGAGUUCGGUAGGGGAGACUGGAAUUCCUGGUGUAGCGGUGAAAUGACGCAGAUAUCAGGAGGAACACCGGUGGCGAAGGCGGGUCUCUGGGCCGAUACUGACGCUGAGGAGCGAAAGCGUGGGGAGCAAACAGG